rnacentral:rRNA from 1 species
CACCGGCGGCCCGAGUGGUAACCGCUAUUAUUGGGUCUAAAGGGUCUGUAGCCGGCCAGAUAAGUCCCUUGGGAAAUCUGGCAGCUCAACUGUCAGGCUGCCAGGGGAUACUGUCUGGCUUGGGACCGGGAGAGGUGAGAGGUACCUCAGGGGUAGGGGUGAAAUCUUGUGAUCCUUGAGGGACCACCAGUGGCGAAGGCGUCUCACCAGAACGGGUCCGACGGUAAGGGACGAAAGCUAGGGGCACGAACCGGAUUAGAUACCCGGGUAGUCCUAGCCGUAAACGAUGCUCGCUAGGUGUCGGUCACGGUGCGACCGUGAUCGGUGCCGUAGGGAAGCCGUGAAGCGAGCCACCUGGGAAGUAUGGCCGCAAGGCUGAAACUUAAAGGAAUUGGCGGGGAGCACAACAACGGGUGGAGCCUGCGGUUC